AUGAACCUUAGCUCUGUAAAAGGGUUGGAUCCGACGACCCUAGAAGGCUACUAUAGGCUCCUUCUCAACUCCUACUCAAUACGUCCACG
rnacentral:ribozyme from 1 species